ACUUAGUGGAACAGCAUCACUGCAUCGAUUCCCUUUCUUCUUUCUCACUGAACUGUCAUUCGAAUAAACAAAAGCGAAAAGAGUGAACUGAGUGAAGAAUUUUCUUAAACAGCGAAUAGCAAACGAAGGACGUGAAGUGAUGACAAUAAAUUUAAGAUUUCAAAGACAAUAUCGCCAACGGAUGUUUCCAACGAAGUUUCAUCUGAUGUGGUUAUUUCGCUUUUGUUGUCUUCAAUCAGACCUGUAUGGAUAUAAUUGAUGUAGUAAUGGAUGCAUCCGGAUCUGCAGUCACAAGUCUAUGUAAAAAUGCAUACAGAUCAAUCAGACUUUAAAGAAAAAAACAUUCUCACUAUUUGAGGAACAAAUGAACAUGUAUAAAAUCAGCGAUUGAGCGUUAUUCAGUAGCAGCCAGAUAGAACGUCGCAGUUGCAGAAAAAGCAUCUGAUGCAUGGACCAUCGUAACAAUUACCUAACCUUGAAUUUCUAACUGCUUCGUCAGCAGCUGCUUUAGGACCUGCAUCCAACGAUCGUGUUAAACCCACUUAUUGAUGAUAUAGAUGAUGCUUUCAACAUCCCAAACUUUAACUGAAUAGGAAUGUUCAGUGAAGAUCUGAUUCGUCCACACCCGCAAAGUAUAAUUUAGAAUGGUGGUAUUUGAACUAAAGUUUCAUUCUAGCCGCAUCGAAUAAUUUUACGGUAGUCAUUAUAG